GGGCCCGCACAAGCGGUGGAGCAUGUGGUUCAAUUCGAUGCAGAGCGAAGAACCUUACCUGGGCUUGACAUGCAGGAAGUAGGAACCCGAAAGGGGGACGACCCGUUAAAUCGGGAGCCUGCACAGGUGGUGCAUGGCUGUCGUCAGCUCGUGCCGUGAGGUGUUGGGUUAAGUCCCGCAACGAGCGCAACCCUCACCCCAUGUUGCCAACGGUUCGGCCGGGCACUCUUGGGGAACUGCCGGCGAAGAGCUGGAGGAAGGGGGGGAUGACGUCAAGUCCGUAUGCCCCUUAUGUCCAGGGCUACACACAUGCUACAAUGGUCGGUACAGAGGGUUGCCAACCCGCGAGGGGGAGCCAAUCCCAUAAAGCCGAUCUCAGUUCGGAUUGCAGGCUGCAACUCGCCUGCAUGAAGUCGGAAUCGCUAGUAAGCGCAGAUCAGCAGGCUGCGCUGAAUACGUUCCCGGGCCUU
rnacentral:rRNA from 1 species